CGGAGGAAAAGAAACCAACAGGGAUUCCCCUAGUAACGGCGAGUGAAGCGGGAACAGCUCAAAUUUGAAAUCUGGCCCUUGGGUCCGAGUUGUAAUUUGCAGAGGAUGCUUUUGGUGCGGUGCCUUCCGAGUUCCCUGGAACGGGACGCCUUAGAGGGUGAGAGCCCCGUACGGUUGGCCACCAAGCCUGUGUAAAGCUCCUUCGACGAGUCGAGUAGUUUGGGAAUGCUGCUCAAAAUGGGAGGUAUAUUUCUUCUAAAGCUAAAUACUGGCCAGAGACCGAUAGCGCACAAGUAGAGUGAUCGAAAGAUGAAAAGCACUUUGAAAAGAGGGUUAAAUAGCACGUGAAAUUGUUGAAAGGGAAGGAUUUAUGACCAGACUUUUUCUGGGGGGAUCAUCCGGUGUUCUCACCGGUGCACUUCCCCCAGUGAAGGCCAGCAUCGGUUUCUGCCGGGGGAUAAAAGCUUCGGGAAUGUGGCUCCUUCGGGAGUGUUAUAGCCCGUUGCAUAAUACCCUGGCGGGGACCGAGGUUCGCGCAUUGCAAGGAUGCUGGCGUAAUGGUUAUUAAUCAC
rnacentral:rRNA from 1 species